CCUACGGGGGGCAGCAGUGGGGAAUAUUGGACAAUGGGGGGAACCCUGAUCCAGCCAUGCCGCGUGUGUGAAGAAGGCCCUCGGGUUGUAAAGCACUUUCAGUGAGGAAGAACGCCUGGUGGUUAAUACCCAUCAGGAAAGACAUCACUCACAGAAGAAGCACCGGCUAACUCCGUGCCAGCAGCCGCGGUAAUACGGAGGGUGCGAGCGUUAAUCGGAAUUACUGGGCGUAAAGCGCGCGUAGGUGGCUUGAUAAGCCGGUUGUGAAAGCCCCGGGCUCAACCUGGGAACGGCAUCCGGAACUGUCAAGCUAGAGUGCAGGAGAGGAAGGUAGAAUUCCCGGUGUAGCGGUGAAAGGCGUAGAGAUCGGGAGGAAUACCAGUGGCGAAGGCGGCCUUCUGGACUGACACUGACACUGAGGUGCGAAAGCGUGGGUAGCAAACAGGAUUAGAUACCCUUGUAGUC
rnacentral:rRNA from 1 species